rnacentral:misc_RNA from 1 species
GAUGAAGAACGUAGCGAAAUGCGAUAAGUAAUGUGAAUUGCAGAAUUCAGUGAAUCAUCGAAUCUUUGAACGCAUCUUGCGCUCCUUGGUAUUCUGAGGAGCAUGCCUGUUUGAGUGUCAUUAAAUUCUCCACUACACUGACUUUGAAUUGGUGUGGCUUGGAUUUGGGGGGAAAAUUGUUGUGGGCUUUUUGUAUAGUCUGCUCCCCUGAAAUUGAUUAGCGGUACCUUUGUGGAACUGUCUACAGGUGUGAUAAUUAUCUACAUCUUAGACAUCUGCUGGAAUGCUGCUUUCUAAACCUUACUUGUAUUGACAAUCUUGACCUCAAAUCAGGUAGGACUACCCGCUGAACUUAAGCAUAUCAAUAAGCGGAGGA